rnacentral:rRNA from 1 species
CUCUGAGACAGGUGCUGCAUGGCUGUCGUCAGCUCGUGUUGUGAAAUGUUGGGUUAAGUCCCGCAACGAGCGCAACCCUUAUCCUUGUUUGCCAGCGAGUAAUGUCGGGAACUCCAGGGAGACUGCCGGUGAUAAACCGGAGGAAGGUGGGGACGACGUCAAGUCAUCAUGGCCCUUACGAGUAGGGCUACACACGUGCUACAAUGGCGCAUACAGAGGGCGGCCAACUUGCGAAAGUGAGCGAAUCCCAAAAAGUGCGUCGUAGUCCGGAUUGGAGUCUGCAACUCGACUCCAUGAAGUCGGAAUCGCUAGUAAUCGUGGAUCAGAAUGCCACGGUGAAUACGUUCCCGGGCCUUGUACACACCGCCCGUCACACCAUGGGAGUGGGCUGCAAAAGAAGUAGGUAGUUUAACCUUCGGGGGGACGCUUACCACUUUGUGGUUCAUGACUGGGGUGAAGUCGUAACAAGGUAGCGCUAGGGGAACCUGGCGCUGGAUCACCUCCUUAAACGAUGAU